rnacentral:rRNA from 1 species
CCUACGGGAGGCAGCAGUGAGGAAUAUUGGUCAAUGGACGAGAGUCUGAACCAGCCAAGUAGCGUGAAGGAUGACUGCCCUAUGGGUUGUAAACUUCUUUUAUAUGGGAAUAAAACAGGGUAUGCAUACCCUCUUGUGUGUACCAUAUGAAUAAGGAUCGGCUAACUCCGUGCCAGCAGCCGCGGUAAUACGGAGGAUCCGAGCGUUAUCCGGAUUUAUUGGGGUUAAAGGGAGCGUAGGUGGAUUGUUAAGUCAGUUGUGAAAGUUUGGGGCUCAACCGUAAAAUUGCAGUUGAAACUGGCAGGCUGGAGUACAGUAGAGGUGGGCGGAAUUCGUGGUGUAGCGGUGAAAUGCGUAGAUAUCACGAAGAACUCCGAUUGCGAAGGCAGCUUACCGGACUGCAACUGACACUGAUGCUCGAAAGCGUGGGUAUCAAACAGGAUUAGAUACCCGAGUAGUC